rnacentral:rRNA from 1 species
UACGAACCGAGCGACCGUUGUUCGGAAUCACUGGGCUUAAAGGGCGCGUAGGCGGGUGCUCAAGUCUGGGGUGAAAUCCUCCGGCUCAACCGGAGAACUGCCAUGGAUACUGGGUGCCUCGAGGGUGGUAGGGGUAUGCGGAACUAUCGGUGGAGCGGUGAAAUGCGUUGAUAUCGAUAGGAACUCCGGUGGCGAAGGCGGCAUACUGGACCGCUUCUGACGCUGAGGCGCGAAAGCCAGGGGAGCAAACGGG